rnacentral:misc_RNA from 1 species
UAGUCAAAGUGAUGGGGUAGGUAAGGAGGGGACUGUACCAGAAUCCUUAUUGAAAGAAGCUCGUAAAACCGGUUCACUGAACCUGUCAAACAGGGGCAUUAGUGUUAUUCCUCCUAAACUGUGAAGACUCAAUAUUGAUCCUCCUGAUGGUAGUACUGUUUCAUUUGAGAGAUGGUGGGACC